rnacentral:rRNA from 1 species
GUCCAGACUCCUACGGGAGGCAGCAGUGAGGAAUAUUGGUCAAUGGGCGGGAGCCUGAACCAGCCAAGCCGCGUGAAGGAAGAAGGCGCCAAGCGUCGUAAACUUCUUUUGUCGGGGAACAAAGGGCGCCACGUGUGGCGUUGUGAGUGUACCCGAAGAAAAAGCAUCGGCUAACUCCGUGCCAGCAGCCGCGGUAAUACGGAGGAUGCGAGCGUUAUCCGGAUUUAUUGGGUUUAAAGGGUGCGUAGGCGGUCCGGAAAGUCAGCGGUAAAAGCCCGGGGCUCAACCCCAUCCAGCCGUUGAAACUGGGGAUCUAGAGUGUGCGAGAGGUAUGCGGAAUGCGUGGUGUAGCGGUGAAAUGCAUAGAUAUCACGCAGAACCCCGAUUGCGAAGGCAGCAUACCGGUGCACAACUGACGCUCAGGCACGAAAGCGUGGGUAUCGAACAGGAUUAGAUACCCGUGUA